rnacentral:tRNA from 1 species
UGGCUCAGUGGUUAAGAGCUAUGGCUGCUAACCAUAAAGUUGGCAGUUCCAAUCUACC